rnacentral:rRNA from 1 species
AUGUGGGGAAGAUUCAUGGGACUGUGGUGGGUGUUGGGGGGACGACAGAUGCAUUGGGUGUGUGUGUGUGUGUGGGGGGGGGGGGGUUCUUGCUCCCCGCCGACGAUCGGCCAAGCCGGCUCCUCCUCCCACCUUGGGUCGCAGGACCUGCCGGGCAAGAUGAACCUGGAGCACGGCCGGGGUGAGGGCCGUCCUCUCGUCAUCGACAUGGAGGCCGCCCGCAAGGCCGUCAACGGAUUCCUUAUGGUGGGGCGCCUUCUCUCCCCUUUCCAGGUCAACCCGAGGGUGAUUGUCGACGACCUCCGGAACACGACCUGGAAGAACCAAGGGGCGGUCACCAUCCAAGAGGUGGACAGCGCGGAUGGGAGGUUUAUCCUUAAUCUUGCGGCUGACAAUGAUUGUCGGUUUGUGCUAAAGGCGCAACCUUGGCACUUCAAGCGUGACGGUCUCAUCUUCGUCGAGUUCGACGGCAAGGGUGACGCGGCGGAGGUCGACCUUGGUGUCAUGGCCAUAUGGGUCCAGGUACGUGAUCUUCCGUUCGAGCUUAAGACUGAGAACAUAGGAUGGUCUCUCGAAGAUCAACUUGGAGAGGUGUUGGAGGUGUCUCACCAAAACCAUGUAAUUGUCGAAAAAUACUUGAGGGUGCGUGUCAAGAUUUUACUGCAUGAACCUCUAAAGAGUUCUGUAGAGUUUACACCUCUAUGUAGUUCUAAGGUGUUCAAGUAUGAUGUAAAGUACGAAAAGCUUCCCCUAUACUGUGAGUGUUGUGGUAUUGUUGGCCACACUUUAGAGAGGUUUCGUAAAAUCCCUCGUGAUAAGAGGGUAGUUAGUUAUCCUAGAAAUCUGAGUGUAGAACGAUAUUGGAAGAGCCAAGGCGUUAGUAAGAGGGGUCUACUCUUCGGAAACUUCCCUCGCGAUGGCAAGAACUCUUCAUCAGGCACCGUCAACAUCAACACCGCCAAGACAAUGGACGUUGUCAAGGUGGCCACUGCCGUGAAAGGCCUCGUCGUCUCGGACAAAGGGAUCGCCUCAUCCGUCAAGUUAACACUCGGCCAGGAGGGCCGGGAUCGGGGGCUCAUGGUGUCGGAUCCGGCUGGCGCAUCACUUGGUCAGGAGGACCAGGCAGGUGCACGGGUUGCUUCUGGCGAGCGGGAUGGGCAGGGCUAA